GGGUAUUAAUGUAAUUUCACGGGACAUUUGUUUUAAAUAGCGAGGCCACUGCACUGCACCCUACAGUGCGCUAGGGUUUCUUCUUCAACUGCGGCUUCAGAGUUUCGUCGGAGGAACUUUGAUUCGAGAUGUCCAGAGUUUACGUGGGGAAUUUGGAUCCACGGGUUACUGAACGCGAACUCGAGGAUGAAUUUCGCGUGUUUGGAGUGAUUAGAAGUGUUUGGGUUGCCAGAAGACCACCUGGUUAUGCUUUUAUUGACUUUGACGAUCGUAGGGAUGCCCAGGAUGCUAUCAGGGAGGUUGAUGGAAAAAAUGGCUGGAGAGUUGAAAUGUCACACAAUUCAAGGGGUGGAGGAGGAGGUGGUGGUGGUGGUGGUGGCCGUGGACGAUCUGGUUCUGAUUUGAAAUGCUAUGAAUGUGGUGAGCCUGGUCAUUUUGCCCGUGAAUGCAGAAAUCGAGGAGGUUCUGGAAGGCGUAGGAGUCGAACUCCUCCUAGGUAUCGUAGGAGUCCAAGUUAUGGUCGAAGGAGUUACAGUCCUCGUGGUCGUUCCCCGCGUGGACGAUCCCCUCCGCGUCGCAGUUUGUCGCCUAGAGGCCGCAGCUACAGCAAGUCACCACCCUAUCGUGGACGAGAGGAGGUUCCAUAUGCAAAUGGAAAUGGGGUUAGGGAAAGGCGCAGGAGCAGAAGCUGAACUUGGAUAAGCCAUUAGUGCUCUUGAACCACUGAAGAAGUUUUUGAAUUGUGUUUACUGUGAUUGGACUUAUGUACGACUGUGUAAGUGUGGGGUGACGCCUCAGCUUCUUCUACUCGUGGAUUUGGUUGUCGUUACUACUUCAGUAGUGUUUGCCUGGUACUGCUUCAUUGGUAUCGUGCAUCUGCACUCUUCACUACUUGUGUUUCGACCUCUCCACCACCCGUGGGAUCUUCAAUUUCAAUGAUUGUGGAUCCCCGCUGGCUUCUCUGCUAGAUGCUUCUUUUCAUUGCAUUUCUGCGGCUAUGAUGCGCCCCCUCUCCGCAAAUAUUUAUGGUAUUUCCUUAGAUGUAAGGUUCUCUGAUGAUCAAGUUCCACGCUACGGGCAGGUAUUCAAUCCAUUAUAUGUGGAUAGUCAAGGCAUGCCAUUUUCUUUCAAAUAUAACCCCUCUCUAUGCGCCAUUAUUCUUUGCCCAAAUAAGAUUUUUAUUUCAUAUUUUACUGAGUUCUCCUCAUUGAAUACUAAGAAAAAUUUUGUUUCAUUUAUUCAUCAAUGGCAAUUGGGGCGGGCUUUUCUUAAUCCAUCUUUAUUUUUUGAUAUUACGUGUCAUGCAUUUACGGAAACAUGUCUUUUUUUUAGUGGGGUGGGGGAUCUUAUUUUUUAGUUUAGGGUACAUCUGUACUUGUCACUCUUGGCCAAGUCAAUGCAACCUUGCGUAGUACAGUAUUUUUUAAGUCCAAGCUUGUCGUCUGUCAGUCAGUCGUUUGGUCUUCAGUGGGAGGGUAUCUUCAUUGUUGCUGCACCUUGUUUACUUACUUGCCCUCCCUGCUACUCUGUCAUGCGGUUUAAUUUGUCUAUACGGGAGGUAAGUGAUUAACCUUUGUUUGUUUUGUUGUGUACUUGUUAUUGCCACUAUGCUGUUUGUACCAAACCCAGAAAAUGUGUUUCAUAUUAACAAACUAUUUAUUUA